rnacentral:rRNA from 1 species
CAAUGGGUAGUACAGAGGGUUGCCAAGCCGUAAGGUGGAGCUAAUCCCUUAAAGCUACUCUCAGUUCGGAUUGUAGGCUGAAACUCGCCUACAUGAAGCUGGAGUUACUAGUAAUCGCAGAUCAGAAUGCUGCGGUGAAUGCGUUCCCGGGUCUUGUACACACCGCCCGUCACACCACGGGAGUUGGAGACGCCCGAAGCCGAUUAUCUAACCUUUUGGAAGAAGUCGUCGAAGGUGGAAUCAAUAACUGGGGUGAAGUCGUAACAAGGUAGCCGUAUCGGAAGGUGCGGCUGGAUCACCUCCUUUCUAAGGAGA